AUGAAGUGCGAUAUUGACAU
rnacentral:miRNA from 1 species